rnacentral:ncRNA from 1 species
AAGUAGGAUACUUUGAUCGAUUACCUUUAUCUGGGCACUUUGGUAAUUGGGAGUUAGUAGUGCAACCGGCCGACU